GAAAAACCAGAAAAGAAAUGGAC
rnacentral:rRNA from 1 species